CCUACGGGAGGCAGCAGUGGGGAAUUUUGGACAAUGGGCGCAAGCCUGAUCCAGCCAUGCCGCGUGCGGGAAGAAGGCCUUCGGGUUGUAAACCGCUUUUGUCAGGGAAGAAAAGGUUCUGGAUAAUACCUGGGACUCAUGACGGUACCUGAAGAAUAAGCACCGGCUAACUACGUGCCAGCAGCCGCGGUAAUACGUAGGGUGCAAGCGUUAAUCGGAAUUACUGGGCGUAAAGCGUGCGCAGGCGGUUAUGCAAGACAGAGGUGAAAUCCCCGGGCUCAACCUGGGAACUGCCUUUGUGACUGCAUAGCUAGAGUACGGUAGAGGGGGAUGGAAUUCCGCGUGUAGCAGUGAAAUGCGUAGAUAUGCGGAGGAACACCG
rnacentral:rRNA from 1 species